rnacentral:rRNA from 1 species
UCCUGGCUCAGAUUGAACGCUGGCGGCAUGCCUUACACAUGCAAGUCGAACGGCAGCACGGGAGCUUGCUCCUGGUGGCGAGUGGCGAACGGGUGAGUAAUACAUCGGAACGUACCCUGAAUGGGGGAUAACGUAGCGAAAGUUACGCUAAUACCGCAUAUUCUGUGAGCAGGAAAGAGGGGGGAUCGCAAGACCUCUUGCUUUAGGAGCGGCCGAUGUCGGAUUGGCUAGUUGGUGAGGUAAAGGCUCACCAAGGCGACGAUCCGUAGCGGGUCUGAGAGGAUGAUCCGCCACACUGGGACUGAGACACGGCCCAGACUCCUACGGGAGGCAGCAGUGGGGAAUAUUGGACAAUGGGCGAAAGCCUGAUCCAGCAAUGCCGCGUGAGUGAUGAAGGCCUUAGGGUUGUAAAGCUCUUUUACCAGGGAUGAUAAUGACAGUACCUGGAGAAGAAGCACCGGCUAACUACGUG